AUGAAUGAACUGGCUGAGCAAGCUCCUCGGAGCAGCUCUGGUCGUCAACACCUUGUGAAUUGUGAAUGUCUUUGGCAAGUGAUGUGUUUCCAGUGAUGGGGAUGCAGAGUUUCGCUCGGUUUGAGCGAAAGCUUGCCUAUGAAUUUUAAACUAUUGCCUUUUGAGCCUGACCAAUUUUUAUCAGAGAAAUACUGAAA
rnacentral:misc_RNA from 1 species